rfam:Oryza sativa (indica cultivar-group) chromosome 7, whole genome shotgun sequence.
AAAAAAUACAAACCUGAGUUUUCAUGUCCAACGUUUGACUGUCCGUCUUAUAUGAAAUUUUUUUUAUAAUUAGUAUUUUCAUUGUUGUUAUAAAUGAUAAAACAUGAUUAAUACUUUAUGCGUGACUUGUCUUUUUAAUUUUUUUCAUAAUUUUUUUAAAUAAGACGGACGGUCAAACAUUGGAUAAAAAACGCAGGGUUUAUCUUUCU